rnacentral:ncRNA from 2 species
AGGGGCGCGGCCGCGAACGGUUCCCGGAGACGGGAUGAAAAGGGAAGUCGGGAAGGGCCAACAGCCUGAUCCCGCGCUGCCCCCGCAACUGUGAUCGGCGAGUGUCGCCCAUCCGCGCCACUGGAGGCUUGAGGCUUCCGGGAAGGCCGGGCGGCACGGUGAACCGAGAGCCAGGAGACCUGCCGGUCGCACGUCGAUCCA